rnacentral:lncRNA from 1 species
GGCCGCGCUGAGAGUCACGUGGUGCGCCAGGAAGCCGCCUAGCUUCUUGGAGAGCUCACUGCCUCGCUCCGCUCCUUUCCUGGCGGGAGGCUCUGAGCCACCCCCACCUGCGCAGGGCGGCCAGGGGUGAGUGUCCACUAGGAGCGUCGCGCCCACCCGGACUGUCCACGCUGGGGCGCAGGCCGUCAGAAUGUCUUGCCCGGACCAGGGGACAAAAUGGCGGCAGGGUUAAAACAAAGUCACAAGUCUGACCCACACUCAAAGGGAGAAGAUUAUGCAAGAGCAAAAGCACGAGAUGGAAACCAUGGGGCCAUCUUAUAGUCUGUCUGCCGGAGAAAGAUGAACACAAAUCCUGCCUAGCUUCAUCAAUGUCCAGCCUCCAGAGGGCCUUCCCAGGAGGGUAGGCAUUAAUGCAAGCAAGUGGUGGUCUGCAUAGCUGAGCAGAGUCUGCUGUGUUUCUGAUAAAUUGUGAAGAGCCAUAGACCUUUGCCUAAUGAAGGGCCUCAAGCUCCUGCUGGUAAGAAUUUGACCUUUUAUUCAAAUUAAAAUGGGGAACCUCUGCAAGGUUUGAAAAUUGGUAAUGAGAUUAUCGGAUUUGUGGGUUUAAUUUUAUUUUAAUUUUUUAAUUUUUUUUUUUUUUUUGAGACAAGGUCUCACUCUGUUGCCCAGACUGGAGUGCAGUGGCAUGAUCAUUUCUCACUGCAGCCUCGACCUCUUGAGCCUAAGCAAUCCUCCCACCUCAGCCUCUGGAGUAGCUGGGACGAUAGGCACAUGCCACGAUGCCUGGCUAAGUUUUUAAAUUUUUUUUGUAUUGACAAGGUCUCACUGUGUUGCCCAGGCUGGUCUUGAACUCCUGAGCUCAAGCAGUCUUCCUACCUCGGCCUCCCAAAGUUCUGGGAUUACAGGCAUACCACCACAUGACCAGCAGGGGCUUGUGUUUUAAAAUAUAACUCCAGCUGCUCUUCAGAGAAUAGGAUGAAACACUGUCAAAAGCAGAAGAAAAGAGACCAGUAGAGAGGUUCUUGCCUAUGAGAGAUGAUGGUAGAUUGGUAGAGUGCUGCUCGUAAUAUGGAAACUGCGUUGGGAAAUUUUCAGUGUCUUUUAACAUUUUUGACUGAUGAAAGGUCCAUUAAAUAAUCCUAGAGAAUUGUGUUCAAAUGUGGUUACAAUUUCAUGAUUCAAAACUUGACAAGUACAAGCUAUCAGUUUUAAUUGCAGGGUUUAUUUUUGGUCCUUCAUUUGUUUCAAAUGAUUGUUUCAGCUAGAAUCAAAUGUGUAUUAUGCCACUGAUAGAGAACUAGAAGAGUGUCCCUUUAAAAAAAAUUUCACCAACAGUAUAACUUUUAGUCACAAUUGAGCAGGAAUUGGGGUAUCUAAGAAUACCAGGAUGGGAAAAGUAUCAAUUUUUCUUAGAGACAAAACUGGUUCAGAGGGACCAUUGGUGUUCUUAAAUUUUUUAAAUUGUGGUUAAAUACAUACAACGUAAAACUUGCCAUUUUCGCUAUUUUUAAGUAUGCAAUUUAGUGGCAUUAGUUAUAUUCACAGUGUUGGACAGCCAUUGCCAUUAUCUAUUUCCCAAAUUUUUCGUCAGCGCAAAAGAAACUCUGUUUCCAUUAAGCAACAUUCUCCAUUCCUUCCUUCCCUAACCCCAGAUAAUCUCUAAUCUACUUUUUGUUUUUAUGAAUUUGUAUAUUCUGGAUCUUGAACAAGAGUGGAAUCAUACAAUAUAUGACCUUUGGUGUUUGGCUUAUUUCGGUUAAAUAAUGUUUUCAAGGUCGUAGCAUACAACAGAACUUCAUUUCCUUUUAUGGCUGAAUAAUAUGCCAUUGUAUGCAUAUGCUCCAUCUUGUUUAUCCAUUCAUCUGUUGGUGGCUACUUGGGUUGAUUCCACCUUUUGGCUAUCAUGAAUAAUGCUGCAGUAAACAUUCAUGUACAAGUAUCUGAAUCCCUGUUUACAGUUAUUUAGGGCAUAUACCUAGAAGUAGAAUAUCUGGGUUAUAUGGUAACUCUAUGUUUAACUUUUUGAGGGACUGUACCAGUGGCUCCACUAUUUUACAUUCCUACCAGGAAUGUAAAAGUAUCCUACUUUCUCCACAUUUUUGGCAACAAUUAUUUUCAGUUAUUAUUAUUAUUACAGCCAAUUUAGUGAGUGUAAAGUGAAAUCUCGUUGUGGCUUUGAUUUGCAUUUCCAUAAUGAGUAAUGAUUUUUGAGCAUAUUCAUAUGCUUAUAGGCCAUUUUUAUAUUUUCUUUAGAAAUAUCUAUUCAAGUCCUUUGUCUGUGUUUAAAUUUGUGUGUUUGUCUUUUUGUUGUAGAGUUUUACGAGUUCUUUAUAUAUUAUCAAUAUUAAACUUUUGUCAGAUAUAUGGCUUGUAAAUAAUUUAUCCCAUGUGUAAGCUUUCUUUUCACUUUCUUGAUAAUUGUUUUUUAUAUGAAAGCUUUUAACACUGAUGAAUUCUAAUUUGUCUAUUUUAUUUAUUUUGUUGCUCAUACUUUCAGUGUAAUGUGUGAGAAUCUGUCACCAAAUCCAAGAUCAUACAAAAUUUACCCCUGUGUUUUCUACGAAGAGUUUUGUGGUUUUAGCUCUUAUAUUUAGAUUGUUAGUCUAUUUUGAUUUAAGUUUUGUAAAUGGUGUGAGGUUGAGAUAAAAGUUUAUAUUUUGCAUUUGGAAAUCCAAGAGUUACAGGAUUAUCUAUUGAGAAGUUAUUAUUUCUUCAUUGAGUGGAAUUGGCUCCCUUAUUGACAAUUAAUUUACUAUAAAUAUAUGGGUUUCAUUGCUGGAGUCUAAAUUCUGUUCAGUCACUCUAUUUGUCUGUCCUUAUGACAGUACCACACUGUAGCUCUGUAAAAAGUUUUAAAAUUGUAAAGUGUGAGUUCUCCAUCUUUGUUCUUCCAUGUUAAGAUUAUUUGGCUAUGCAGGACCCCUUCAAAUUCCACAUGAGUGUGACAAUCAGAUUUUACAUUCUUGAAAAAAAUGGUGUCAGAAUUUUGAUAGAGAUCGUUUUAAAUCUGUAGAUUUCUUUGGGUAGAAUUGACAUCUUAACAAUAUUACAUCCUCCAGGCCCAUGAACAUAAGACGCCUUUCCAUACAUUUCAUCUUUGGCUUCUUUCAAAUUUUUUUUUAAUUUGCAGUUUACAAGUUUUUCACAUCCUUGAUUAAACAUAUUUCCAAGUAUUUUAUUGUUUCGGAUGGUAUGAAAUGGGUUUAAUUUCUUUUUCAAAUUUUUCAUUGCAUUUUGUAUAGAAACACAAAUUAUUUCUGUGCAUUGACUUUAUACCCUGCAAGUUUGCUGAAAUCAUUUAUUAGCUCUAGUCGCUCUCUUGUGGAAUUUUAAAAAUUUUUUGUAUGCACGGGAUCAGGCUAUCUCUGAAUGUAGAUAGCUUUUCUUCUUUACUUCCAAUUUGAAUGACUUUUAUUUCUUCUUUUUAUCUAAUCGCUAUAGAUAGAACUUCCAGUACAAUGCUGAAUAGAAGUGGUAAAAAUGGGCAUCCUGUCUUGUUUAUACUUUAAAGGAAAACUUUCAGGUUUUCGGCAUUGUAUAUAUUAGCUAUGAGGUUGAUAAAUUCUUUUUAUCGUGGUAAGGAAGUGUUUCUAGUUUUCUUAGCGUUUUUAUCAUAACAGAGUGUUGGUUUUUGUCUAACGCCUUUUCUUCAUUAAUAGAGUUGUCACGUGUUUUGGUGUUCUGCUUUUUGGCACAUAUGUGACUAUAAUUGUUACAUUUUUCUCAAUACAUUUAUCAUUUUAUCAGUGAUAUGAUAAAAUGUUCUGCUUUGUCUUUGGAACAGUAUCAAUUUAAAGUCAUUUUUUCCUUGAUAUUAGUGUAGCCUCCCCAGAUCUCUUUUUGGUUGAUUGUCUUAAAUGUUUUUUUUCAUCCUUUCAUUUUCAAUCUGUCUGCACGUUUUAGAUCUUGGGUGAGUCUCUAAUAGAGAACAUAUAGUUGGAUAAUUUUAUACAUUUCUCUAAUGCCUGCGUUUUAAUUGAAGAGUGUAAUUCAUAUACACUUAAAGCAAUUGCUGAUAGAAAGAACAUCUGCUCUUUUGCUAUUUGUUUGCUGUAUAUUUAUCCAUUUCUUUUCUUUUUGUGCCUUCUUACCUUCCCUGUCUUGUUUUUAGUCCAAUAUUUCAUGUGAGCUGUUUUGAGUCUAUUCUCAUUUUUUGGUGUAUAUAAUGUGUGUGUGUGUGUGUGUGUGUGUGUGUGUGUGUGUGAUAAUAAUGGGUAUUACAAUUAUAAUUUAAAUUAAUAAAAAAUCUAGUUUGAAUUUAUACUUCUAUAGCAUAUAAAAAACUUUGCUCCUAUAUAGCUAUUCCCCCUUUAUAUUGUUGUCAAAAAUUAUAUUUUUAUACAUUGUAUGUUAAAUAGUGUAAACCUAUAGACUGUUAUGCAUUCGUCUUUUAAAUACUGUAGAAAAUAUAGAGUUGCACAUAUAAAAUACAAUAAUACUGGUUUUUAUAUUUGCCCAUAUAGUUAUCUUUACUAGAGAUCUUUAUUUCUUUACAUGGCUUCAAAUUACCAUUUAGUAUCUUUAUAUUUUCACCUGAAGGAUUUUAUUUUUGCGUGUAUGUCCCCCGCCCACCUGCCAGAGAGAUUCACCUGUGGCCCCCUGCUAUUCCUUUGGAGCACUUUCACUUGUGGCCCACCCCCUGCUCUACCAGAGUUCAUUUGCCAGUGGCCCCUGACAGUGCUAUUGUCAGCAGAACCUUGGUUCCCCCAGUGCAGGUAGUGUUUGACCUUGAGGGGCCAGAGAAGAAAACCAUGGCCUGGUACCAGCCCCUCAGAGUUAGAGCAUGCAGCCCAGGAGUACUGAGCUCAGUCUUAGCCCUCUGAAAACAUCCAGAAAUAAAGCCAAUCAACUAAACCCAAUUUACACCACAGUCAAACCCUCAAGGGCAUUACAGAGAAUAAAAGCUAAAAGCAUCAUCAAGAGGAUAGGAACUUCAAAGAUUAAAGAAACAUCAGCCUACACAAAUGAAAAAGAACAAGUGUAAGAAUUCUGGCAACUCAAAAAGCCAGAGGGCCCCUUUACCUCCAUAUGAGCCCACUAGCUCUCCAGCAAUGGUUCGAAGUGAAAUGACCAAAAUGACAACACAGAAUUCUGAUUGUGAAUGGCAAAAAAGCACAUUGAGAUUCAGGAGAAAGAUGAAACCCAAUCCAAGGAAUUCAAGAAAUCCAAUAAAACAAUACAAGAGCUGAAAGACAACUAGCCAUUUUAAGAAAGAAUCAAACUGAACUUCUGGAAUUGAAAAGUCCACUACAAUAAUUUUAUAAUUUAGUCAGAAGCAUUAACAGCAAAAUUGACCAAGCUGAGGAAAGAAUCUCAGAGCUUGAAGACUGAUUCUUUGAAUCAACUCAGACAAAAAUAAAGAAGGAUUUUUAAAAAUGAACAAAACCUCCAAGAAAUAAGGGAUUAUGUAAAGAGACCAAGUUUGUGACUCAUUGUUUUUCCUGAGAGAGGAGAGAAAGCAAACAACCUGGAAAACGUAUUUGAGGACACAGUCCAAGAAAAUUUCCCCAAUUUCACUAUAGAGGUUGACAUGCAAAUUCCAGAAAUACAGAGAACUCCUGUGAGAUAAUAUCCAAGAUGGUCAUCCCCAAGGCACAUAGUCAUCAGAUUCACCAAGAUCAGUGCAGAAGGAAAAAUGUUGAAGACAGCUAGGGAGAAGGGUCAGGUAAUAUACUAAGGAAUCCCCAUCAAGCUAGCCGCAGACCUCUCAGCAGAAACCUUACAAGCCAGAAGAGACUGGGGCCUGUUUUCAGCUUUAUUAAAAAAGAAUUUUCAACCAAAAAUUUUAUAUUCUACCAAAUAAGCUUCAUAUGUAAAGGAGAAAGUAAAAUUAUUCUCAGGCUAGCAAAUGCUAAGGGAAUUUGUUACAACUAGACCAGCUUGACAAAAUGUUCUUAAAGCAGUGCUAAACAUGGAAAUAAAAGAAUGACAAUUGCUACCACAAAAACACACGUAAGCGCAUAGUCCACAGACAUUAUAAAGCCACUGUAUGAUAAAGUCUACAAAACAUUCAGCUAACAAUACGAUGACAAGAUUAAAAUCCCACAUGUUAAUGCUUACCCUAAAUGUAAAUUAUCCAAAUACCCCAUUGAAGAGGUAUAGAGUGGCAAGCUGGAUUAAAAAAAAAAAAAAGAGGUCUAACUGUGUGCUGUCUUCAAGAGACCAAUGUCACAUGUAAUAACACCUACAGGCUCAAAGUAAAGGGUUGAAGAAAAAUCUACCAUGCAAGUGGAAAACAAAAAAGAGCAAGAGUCACUAUUCUUAUAUCAGAUAAAACAGACUUUGGUAUUUCUUACAGAAUAGUUCUAGUGGUAAUAAAUUCUCUCAACUUUUGUUUAUGUGAAAAUGUCUUAAUUUUGUCAUCAUUUUUGAAGAACAGUUUUACCAGGUGUAGAAUUGUUUGUUGACUUUCUUUGUCCUUUCAGUACUUUAAAUAUGUCACUCAAUCAUUUUCUGCCCUCCAUAGUUUUAGAUAAGAAAUCAAUUAUUAAUCAUAUUGAGAAUCAUUUAUACAUAAUGAGUUGCUUUUUGUUUACUUCUUUCAAGAUUUUCCCUUUGUGUUUUGGUAAUUUGAUUGUAGUGUGUCUUGAGGUGAAGCUCUUUAAGUUUGUUCUAAAUGGAACUUGUUGUUCUUCUUGAAUAUAUAAAUUCAUGUAUUUCACCAAAUUUUGGAAGUACAUGCCUAUGACUUAUGGAAACAUUCUUUUGUCUAUUUUCUCCUUCUGAGACUCUUAUAAUGUAUAUGUUGGUCCACUGGAUGGUAUUCCAUGGGUCCCUUAGUCUCUGUUUACUUAAUUAAUUUUUCUUUCUGCUUUUCAGACUGGAUAAUUUCAAUUUCCCUGUCUUCAUGUUUGCUGAUUCUUUCUUCUGCCUAUUUAAAUCUACUGCUGACCCCUCUCAAAUGAAUUUUUCUAUUUCCGUUUUUAACUUUUCAUUUCCAGAUUGUGUGUAGUUCCUUUUCAUAAUUUCUGUCUCUUUAUUGGCAUUUUUGUUUUGUUCCUUUCUCAUUUUUCUGAUUUUCUUUAUUUGCCCCUAUUUUUCUUUACCUCUUUGAAACUAUUUAGGACAGUUAUUAUAGAGUCUUUUCUAGUUAUUCCAAUGCCUGGGCUUACUCAGGUAUGGUUUUUGUCCAUUUAUUUUGUUGCUUUGAAUGGACCACACUUUUCUAUUUCUUUGCAUAACUUGUGAUUUUAAGUUUUGAAAUUGGACACAUUUGAAUAUUAUAAUGUAAUUUUCUAAAUAAGAUUCUCCACUUCCUCCAGGAUUUACUUUUUUUAGUUGUUGAAGGUUGUAGUAGUACAUUUACUUAGUGCCUUUUUCAAGCUAGUUUUGCAUUGACCAUCCCUUUAGCUCAUAUUCAAGAAGUAUUUUGAUAGGGAUUUCUUUGAAUUCCAGGAGUUAAAAAACAAACCAAGAAAAAAACUCUUUCAUUCUGCUGUUUGGAUCUGUGCUGGGCUUUCUUUCACAGCAUAGCCAGUUUUGCUCUAAGCCUAGGGCUCAGCCUGAGGGGAAUAUUUUAUGUCUUCGAAAGGCUUUUCUGAGCAUGUGUCUUUCCCUGGUGUGUGUAUGACUUUCUAAAUUAUCCCAUAUAUAUAAGUGAUUUUCAGUGCUUUUCAAAAUACCACUCCAUAGCAUUUCCUAAUGGACUUUUAGAUACUUUACGUUCUGUCUCACCGUAAUUUUUUGUCCCAGGUAUCUGUAGGUUGUUUGUUUGCUUUACAGUGUUUUCAAGCAACUCCCUUCACUUUUCCAACCUCAGUGGGUUUCAAGCUCAGAAAGACAGAGGUGGGAACCUUGUGUCAUCCCCAGACAGGUUAGAAUAGACAUACAUAACAAUUUGCAAAUAGGACCUGCUUUGUUCUGUCCAGAAGCAGGGACCAUCACCCCACACUGAGAAUGCUGCCUGCCUUCUUUUAUAGUGUCACCAGGCUGGGGAGAUGUUGAGGCAAGGACAAGUAAAAAAUGGCAGAAAAUUUUUCUAUCAUCUUUAAGUUAUCUUUUUCCUGAUUGAGCAAUCAUCUCUGUGUUGCAAAUCUUUUACUGUUUUCCAGAGUUCUUAUAAGGUGUUUUGUUUUGUUUUGUUUUGUUUUUCUGAGAGGUUGUGCGUGUGUUUCAAUGUUUCUUUUGAGGAACAGAAGCUUGGAACUGCCUGCUCUAUCAAUUCAUUGAUGUCAGUCCAGUAAAUAUUUUACUCUAUAUUUAUUAUUCAUUCUAUACAAAGAAAAAUAGAUGUGUGUGUGUGAAGAUGUGAUGAAGUGUCAGUAUAUAAGCCAGCAAGGGAAAUGAUAGUUCUUAAAGAAGAGGAGGAAUGAGGACAGUUCUCCAUUAAGAAUGACUCUCCAAUAAGAAUGAAUGCUCAAGUAUAGGUUGGCUGGUUAAAUGGUGCAUAGGUAGAUACAUUUCAAAUUUUUUUGCUAAGGCUUUGUUAAAACACUGCUAAUGCCUUAAAAGGAAUACUUUGGAUAAUUUCACUUAAUUAAUUAGUUAAGCAUGUAAACACUGAGAUAAAUUCCUGUAUUAUUAAAUAUGCUUGAAUAAUGUGAUGUGAGUGGUGGCAGGGAGUUUUCUUCUAUGAGUAUACAAUAAUUUAGUUAACUAAUUAGACUUUUAGGCUGCUAUUAAUUUUUUGCUAUUAUAAGUAGUACAGCAAUGAGUGCCACAGUACCCAAGUUCAUCUUGAAUCUUGUAUUUAGGUAUUUGCUACCUUUUCAGACUUAGAAUAUAGAUCUUCCCACUUAAGGUCCUUGGAAUUACCAAGGAAGUAAUCAGUUUACAUAAAGCCCAUGUAAUACAUAAUAGAAAUAUUUAGAAUACAUAAUAUUCUAAAGUGUAUUUUACUCCGGG